rnacentral:rRNA from 1 species
UCAGGCCUAACACAUGCAAGUCGAACGGUAACAUUUCUAGCUUGCUAGAAGAUGACGAGUGGCGGACGGGUGAGUAAUGCUUGGGAACUUGCCUUUGCGAGGGGGAUAACAGUUGGAAACGACUGCUAAUACCGCAUAAUGUCUACGGACCAAACGGGGCUUCGGCUCCGGCGCAAAGAGAGGCCCAAGUGAGAUUAGCUAGUUGGUAAGGUAACGGCUUACCAAGGCGACGAUCUCUAGCUGUUCUGAGAGGAAGAUCAGCCACACUGGGACUGAGACACGGCCCAGACUCCUACGGGAGGCAGCAGUGGGGAAUAUUGCACAAUGGGGGAAACCCUGAUGCAGCCAUGCCGCGUGUGUGAAGAAGGCCUUCGGGUUGUAAAGCACUUUCAGUUGUGAGGAAAAGUUAGUAGUUAAUACCUGCUAGCCGUGACGUUAACAACAGAAGAAGCACCGGCUAACUCCGUGCCAGCAGCCGCGGUAAUACGGAGGGUGCGAGCGUUAAUCGGAAUUACUGGGCGUAAAGCGCACGCAGGCGGUUUGUUAAGCUAGAUGUGAAAGCCCCGGGCUCAACCUGGGAUGGUCAUUUAGAACUGGCAGACUAGAGUCUUGGAGAGGGGAGUGGAAUUCCAGGUGUAGCGGUGAAAUGCGUAGAUAUCUGGAGGAACAUCAGUGGCCAAGGCGACUCCCUGGCCAAAGA